ACACAGAGAGCCUCAGUGACACCUGCACAGGCUGGGACAGACACAGAGAGCUCUCAGUGACACCUGCACAGGCUGGGACAGACACAGCCCUCAGUGACACCUGCACAGGCUCCUGAGGCUGGGACAAUACCAAACACUGCAGGGUCAUUGUCCCACCCAAACCCCCCCACCCCAUUAGCGCAUCUCUGUGCACAACCUUUACUGUUUUCAGCAGUGCUGUGCAGCCUGCAGUGGUUUCCUGGCACGGAUGUGUGGCAUGAACCCUGUCACGUGUGGUACUGUCAGUGUGUCCAUGUGGGCAGGGGUCACUGGGAUGUUAAUCACACCUGUUUUAAAGCCUGUACAGACUGAAAUGACAUUUCAGUUCACUGGCCUGGCUACAGGAAGCCAAGAGUAGGAGUGCAGUGCUCUCCACCAAAGCUGCAAUGCCUCCUCUAAACACCGCUUAGUUUCCAAACAUGCAGAGUACCCAGGAGACUUGCUCUCAUCAGAUUGAACUAAAUGUGUGCUAUGGAGUUGUGAAGAAAGAUGUCUACUGGCAGCUGCUCUUCUCUUUUGGGAAAACUGCUACUUUGGAGUGUCCUUCUGGAUGAAAGGCAGGAAAACUGCUAUCAUUAAAUAAUAGUAUUGUGGAGCCCCAAAAUAUUGUGUGUUUUAAUGCUGUUGCAUAAUCUUGGGGCUUAUUGAUGCUUUAUGCUCCUGUAUAAUAGCCUCAAACACAUGA